UCAAAGGUUUGAGAAGAGAUGGUAUAUUCAAAACUAGACAGAGGAGGAUGCUUUUUUAGUAUACACAGAUCUUGAUGUGCUGUGUGUUAUCAAACUUCCAGUUUCAGCCACAAUGUCAAUCCCCACAUUUAUUUUGCUUUUAGUAGUUGCAUGUGACAGUAAUGGUCAGACCAUUGAGCCAAUCAGAGAGGAGGUGUAUGCUCCAGCAGGUAGUAAUAUUACACUUUCAUGCACCUACUCAUCUGCAGUCUCUCUUCAAUGGUAUCUCCAGAACCCUGGAUCAGCUCCUCAGUAUAUCCUGCUUAUCCUGCAUGGUGUUGGGUCUCCAUCACGGGCUCCAGGUCUGGAUCCUCGACUGUCAGUCAAACUAAAUCAUGAGAAGAACCGUGUGGAUCUAGAGAUCUCCUCUGCUGAAGAGGAAGACUCUGCUAUGUACUACUGUGCACUGAUGCCCACAGUGAAAGGAAACCUACAAGCGCUGUACAAAAACCUAACCUGACACAUUCUAUACGUACAUGACAUGACCUACAGGUAAUGAUGCAUCUCAAGGUUUUUCUUUUUGACAGGAAACCUGGUGGGUGUGUUUAAAAACCAACAAUAUGUGAAGAGGAGGAGCAACAUUGUAAAUGCCUACUUAUUAUUUCAGAGUCAUAGCAGUGUUUUGGCUUUGCUGUUUUCUAAAAUAUACAUUAAUGUCUGAUCUGUAACAUAGAUAAAAUAUCAGACAGGGAAGGAGAUAUUAAUGAUAAUCUGAGUAUAAGAUAAUGUUUUGGGAUUUUCACCCUCCAGACAUUAUUUCCUAAAGGACUUAAUGAUGAAAUGCCUAUGUAUGUUAUGUUGUGAAUUUGAACAUGAAAUAUGUGUCUCUUGUAGAUUAUUCUGACCUUUUUCGUAAGAUGUACCCUAUGACUAAUGAAAACUUGCUAUGUCCUCAUUGAGAUUUUACAGACGUGUUUAAUAUGCCUUAUUUAUACACUUUUGUAAUAAUUAUGAAAUGCAUAUUGUUAUAUUUGGUAGCACUUAUUUAUUUUUCCUUUGCCUCCAACCCCCUUCGAUGUGUAGAACGGAUGUGGGUGGGGCCAGGUCCACAUAAUGGUGCAACUUUCAAAAAAUCCCCAAACCUCUGACGAAGGCCGUGUGGCCGAUACGUAAGCUUAUUAAAGAUAGGUGAUACUAUCAA
ensembl:lncRNA